ensembl:lncRNA
AAAAGACACAUCGGAUUUGGGAGGGGGAGCGAUGCGCGGUGACGGAUUCCUAGCUGAAUCCCCGCGAUCUUAGUUUGGGGGAGAAUUUGUGAGUUCCGCGGGGUAGGCCGGCCGCCCUCCCACCCGGGAAGCUGACUCGCCCCGCCCCGGCCGCCGCAGAGGAAAGGCAGGUAACCCGCGCGGGGAGCCAGUGCCUGGCAGGACCUUGUCGCCACCGAGGCCCGGGACGGACCAGCCUCGUCCGGGACCCCUGUGCUUCCUCGCCGGCCGCUGCGGGUGUUGGGGGGCCCCAGAUCGCAGCCCCUGGCCCCCUCGACCGGUAAUCCGAGGCCGCGAGCGUCUUCUCAGGUACCGCGCUAGGCGAGGCCUGGAGCCGCAGCGAAGCACGUCCAGCUUCCGUAUUUGGAACCGGGAAAUACAAAUUUAAAAAGAAAGAAAAUACAUCUGUACAGCUGAGUCCCAUUGUUGUUCACCUGAGACUGUCACAGCAGUGUUCAUCAGCUCUUGGUGUUUAGUUGCUGUGUUGCGUCCGACUCUUUGCGACCCCAUGGACUGUAGCACACCAGGCUUCCCAGUCCUUCACACCUCAUCGGCUCUACCCCAAUACAAAAUCAAAAGUUCAAAAACGAAAAGAAAAGAAAGAAAAAUCCAAAAAGAGAUUAACAGUGAGUUUAAAAAUUGCUUUUACAAACUUGACAGCUAUUUCUCAUCACAUUUGCAUUAGUUCUUCUAUGUCCUAAUAAAGGACAGUAAGAUAAUUUGCAAGUAAAAAGAGAGAGAGAGAGAGAAACUUCUGGAACCCUUCUGUAUUCCAAGGCCAAGCUGGAGAGGUUUAAAGGCUCUUCACAUCUCUAAGGCCAAAACUUUCACCCAAGCCUUCAGCUCUGGUUGAGAGCCAGAGAACUGUCACUGUGGCUCCUACUGGUUCAUUCCCUGGAUAUGCUAAAAACUCGGGCAGGAUUUAUGUCUUACUUGGGGGCCAGGAUGACUAGGUCAGGAGCAAGACAUCUCUGACUUAAAAUGAAGUCCCAUUGCUGAGGUCUCUAGUCGUUACUAACUCGGAGGAAAAGGUUCCCCAGACUGUCAGGUAAUUAAGACACAGAGGUGCAGCGACUCCUGCCCCGUUAUCUGAGUGGCUCUGGUACAGGGUCAGUGAUCACAGAACUCAGACGCAGAAAAGGAGCUGGUGCUUGACUGCAAAUUCUGAGAGGUGUGUUGGGUGGGAGAGUGACAGACGGGCCUGGAGUCGGGACCCUGCAUCCAUCCACAACCCAAAUCCUGGCCUUGGAAGCUGGGGUAGCAAGCUCCCUACCUGCCAGGCAUACCAGAGAAACAGGUGAAAGUGAAAGUGAAAGUGAAAGUGAAGCCUCGAAGUCAUGUCCAACUCUGUAGCCCACCAGGCUCCUCCGUCCAUCGGAUUCUCCAGGCAAGAGUACUGGAAUGGGUUGCCAUUUCCUUCUCCAGGGGAAUCUUCCCGACCCAGGGAUCGAACCCAGGUCUCCCACACUGCAGGCAGACGCUUUAACCUCUGAGCCACCAGGCACCAGCUGCUAAACACCCUGUGUCUUAGACCCGCAAAAGGGUAGAUUGCCCAUAAGACUGUACAAGGAAGGAGGGAUUUGAUCAGUUUCCAAUAUGACAGAAAAGGCUGGAAUCUUGAGUGCCCAUAUCCCUCCCAUAUCUGAAACCCCAUGCCUACACAGGCAAGGCAAAGUCCUUCCCAAAGGCACACCACACACACAACUAUAUCUCUUGCGGGCUUCACUGGAGAUAAAAGAUUCUCUGUCGGUGUUACCUCCUUUCCUGUCUCUUCACCUACUCGAUUUGGGAGACAGGAAAGCAUUACCUUUAGGAACACAGGCAGAUUGGCUGGCUGUCGAGGAGCACUGGAGAGGCUCCAAGAAAGAAAUGGAAAGAAAAGAGGAAAAACAACACACAGACACACACAACUUGGGUGCUCACUGGUCCCUUUAUCUCCUGCCUUCCCUCUCCGCUCUCACCCUUUUAAAUUGAAACCCAGUAUGGGAAAUAGUAAUGGAUAUUGUGCUCAAAUCGAGGAAACGUGUCUGAGGCUACUAAGGGACAGUUAGUUCAGCAGCUUUAGAGGAGCUGAUCUUUCUUUGCCCUGUCAACUUCCCUCACAGUAGUAGCAGUUAUCUGAUUUGCCAUGCCCUCUCACUUACCCAGUCCCUUGUUCCCUCCGCCUUGUCUGCCCUCAAAGGGCAAGACCCCACUGCCCCCCACCCCGGGGCACCUAACAACACCACCAGAAAUAAUGGACAGAAGCAAAAGCAGAAAGUCACAGAAGUAAGGGCUCCUGUUCAGUCAGUGGACACCCUUAGUCUGCAAUUGGGGAUUGGAGAAUACAUUGGUCUAUUUCCCUUCACUCUUUGAAAUAUUCUGUCCCUGAGAUUCCCACCACUCCCUGAGGCUACAUUCUUAGGACAGAUUGCUGAAGUGCCAUUGACACCCUUACCUGUCUCGACUGAGACAUCUGGAAAGAGGAUGUUGAAAGAAGAAAGAUUUUGGGUGGUCAACAGUGCCCGGUGCCUGAGGCCGAAGUCAGCUCUGGCUCUGCGCCUUGCAGAUGCUGGAUCAGAUAAGAUGAGAGGAAAAAUUCCCAGCCUCUUCCCAGUGAACUCAUUUCGACUGGACUAAGAAAUAUCCAUUGCAUUAUCUUUCGUUUCUUUUUUUUUUUUUUUUUAAGUAAUCUGGGUAAAACACACAAAGAGACCAUUGAAGAUGUAGAUUGGUUUGAAAUUAGGAAACCACAAUUAGUUCCUUUUCCUGACAGAGAGAGGGAAAAAACCUUUCACAGAUGUAUAAGAAGCACGCUCCCCAGACACACACACACCACUUCCUUCAUCCUUCCCUCCUCGCUUCCCUUCCAACUUCUCUAAAUCACUGGCCGUUUACAAAUUUGCCAUUUGCAGAGCGAUCCUGCUUUGAUGAAAGGUGGGUGCUAAUAAGAAUAAUGCAGAGGGUGAAAUCUUUUCAUUCUGCCUCUGCCAAAAACAUAUUUACAUUAAAGGGAGGUAUGAUAAGCAUGGAUUAAGUGCAUAACGAAUGAUGCUCUAGAAACAGCAUAAACCAACUGGCGCCAAAGUGAACCUCUGUGCUAAAAAUACUGCUUCCCCAAGCUAGACAACUUUGACAAUCUUCUCUCUCUCUCUCUCUCUCUCUCUCUCUCUCUCACACACACACACACACACACACACACACACACACACACACUUCAGGCUCCUGCACCGAAUCGCCCUGAUCAAUAAUUUAGAGGGCUGUCAGAGGACAGGGAAAUGAGCCUUACAGGAAAGCCCUGUGCUGCUGGGGCCAGACAGAGGCUAGGAACUGGGGCUUUAGACCUGCCAUGCUGCCCUUCACCCUGGGCUCCUGCCUUGGAAAGGAGGGGCAGAGAGAAAGGAUGGGAGAUCAGAGCAUUGGAACAGAGGUGAGAGGCCAGCCGUGGGCAGAGGGUGGUUUGGGGAAUACUAAACGCAGAAAGUGAGACUUCAAACCUACACAAAUGGGCCCAGCAUUCUUCUAUCUUGGAGGACACCUUAUCGUCCAGGCCAGGGAUAUGAGAGGAAGGUGUCUGCUUGAACCCCAGGGAGAGGUAAUUCCAGCCUGUCUUGAUUUCUGGAAACGAGGAAGAGUUGGGGGUGGAUACAGAGGCAAUAUGGAAACACAGAAAGGCAGAAGAAAAUUCAGAGAGGACCAGGAAAGCCAGAGAAAAUAGAAAGGGAAGAGAAGAAGAAAGAACAGAAAAGGUAGUAAAUAAAAAUUUUUUAAAAAAUAUUGAGAAAAGUGAAGGCUGGGAGGUAGAGACUGAGGAGUUAUAGAAGCUGAGAACAAGACAGAUGCCAGGAAGAGAAGAGAAAAUAGAAGAAAACAGAAGAACACAGAUCUGCAGUCAUGGAAUCUUGAAAGACACGGACAGAGAGAGAGGACAGCCCAAGCAGAAGAAAGAGACAGAAACAGAAGUGGGUGUCCUGUGUGGUCCAACCAAGACUCUUGUCCUACCUCUGGAGGGAAAGAAAGAUGGGGAAACUGACUUUCCAUCAAAAAGACUGAUCCUGAAGCCUCCAGACCUGAGAGGCCCUAGGCUCUUCAAGCAAAUUUGCAGGGGGAAGGCAGGGAAAGAUGCGAAACUCCAGGAGGAAAACCAAGCCUCCCGGUCUGUGAAGUCCUCCUUUGACUUCAGAGCUGCGUGUGAGAGAGUCAGGGUUUGGGGUAGCACAGGGGUGCUAAUGUGGAAAGGAGGGUGCUGGCUGCUAUCUGCUAGAGGAACUUAACCUAGGCCCUCACCUCGGGGGAGCUGCCUCCCUGAGGUGCCCGCUAAAAAGAAUCACCUCCAGGGUUUGGGGAAUUGAACGCAAAGGACGAUGGGAGUCCUGAAGCAGACACCUAAUCAGUUUCAAUGUCUGUCAAUAUCAAAAGAGCCUGGGAUCCCAUGGGCAGGGACACUGGCCAGAAACGGAGCCGUCUCUACCCAGAAAGCCCCUCCUCAGAGAAAGUUUACGUUUUGACCGACCUCCACAGUAAACUUAAUUAGGCCCCAGACCCUCCAGGAGAAACCCCUGGAUGUCCUUAAUGUCAACAGAGUUCCCAGUUCAGCGACACCUCGGACUGAAAAACAGCUCCCCGCAGCAAACGGUGGGUGAAAGUUUAAGGGGGAAUAAGCGUGUAAUAGUCCCUCGCCAGACCUCACACAUGCUGAAAAGAAUAUUUACAGCAAACUUGCCAAAGUAAACGACCCCGCCUAUACACCAUCCUUUCUUCUUCCACCCCACCGCGCCCCCCAGCCCCGCCCGGGUUUUGUAACCUCCAGAUAAACACCAUUCGGUCACAAAAGGGUCGAUCUGCCCCCCUUUACAGUAGGAGGCAGACGACGCCCUAGGGGAAAGUGGGAGCUGCUGAGGCUUCCUGGGGGGGAUUCUUGGGCAAAGGGGGCUUCUCUGCCUCUUGCGUGGCCUGAUCUGAGGAUAGAAGACUUGGUUGCGUGCGCGUGCGUGUGUGCGCGCGUGUGCACAUAUAACAUUUAUUCUGAGGCUCCUCCUCGCCCCUUGCCCACUUUAAAAUCCGCAUUCAUACUAUUCUUCACCUUAAACACUUCAGACAUCCCAGAUUUGGAGAGAUUUAAAAAAAAAAAUCAGGCCUACAAUUAGGUGAACACUCUUUGCAAUAGAUGGAGGAUUUUGUAGAAGGACACCAGAAGUUCGGCGCCUCCUCUCGGAUUCAGAUUUUGGCCCCCUUUCCCGCUCUUUUAAAGCACCGUUUCUCAGGCUCUGCCCAGUGUCAGGCUAGGCUGCUUCAGUAUUUUCCCGUCUGUCUUUUGUUGAACGUGAGGCGGGAAGAGAGACCGAGAAGAUCGAAGGGGUCUGCAUGGAGGGGGGGGGAAAUGACCAUGCCCUCGGCUAGAGCCUAAAAGCCCGGGCCCGUGGCGCGCUGGCCUGCGAGUUGUCCCAGCCGCCAGGCCUGGCACAAGUCUUCGGAACGCGCUAGCCAAUGUUUAACCCGAAUGCAGUGACCACCAGGCCGCUUUUGUUUGUUCGCAAAUUAAUCACCCAGCGCACGGCCGGCGCCAGAGUGGGUUUAUCACCCACCGGGAGGGGGGCGCGGCGGCCCCGCAGAGACAAAGAGGAGUUCGCACCUUCCCGCUUUUGAUCCCCAGUUACUGCGGCCUCCCUGCAUAAUACGAGCCUCCUGGGGCCGAGUCUGGGAGGUCAGUCAUAAUUGGCGGAAGUUUGCAGACCAUUAGCAAGAUGUCGACAUUUUCGAUUCAGAACCCCACAAACUUUCCUCUCCCGCCUUCCUCUCUGGCGCGCUGGAGUGGCAAUGAGGGGUCAGGAGUGGCAACUGGGGUGACCCCAGGGUUAAGGUGGAGCUAUGGGCAAAAGCAGGCGCGUGAGAGAAGGGGCCGAAAUCGCGGUUAAGUCCACCUCCACCGUUGAGGCCAAAGGCAAGUUGAGAUAUUUACAAGUGAAAUCAGCAAGCUCCCCUCCCACAGUCCAAAACCGAAGCGAGGCCAGCAUGCGGACGACCGAGUGAAAUGUCUCUCUUCCUGGUCAUCUGGACGCUUAGGACACCGAUUGGGUGGAUGUGGGUGUGUGUUGGGGGUCAUCUCGUGCUUGCAGAAUUACUUUCCUUCUCUUCGGUGCGUCGGAGCAGAGGUUGGCCGGCGAGUGCAGGCAAAACCAGACCCCGGGUUUGGGGCCGCUGCUGAAAGCGCAGCGGUGCGGCCCCAGGCUCCCGCGGCCAGCAGAGUGGGGGAAGGGCGGGUUUCAGCCUCCGGAGACUGGUGGAAACCCUGCGGUGACCUCGGUGGACGGUAUCAGAGGGGAAAGGCCUGGGUUUCUCGCACCCUCCGGGGUCGGGCGGCCAGGGACCUGGGAGGGGGCAUCGUGAGCCGACACGCUGACCCCCGCCGCUCUUGCUCCACCACCUCAGAGAGAGGCCGAGAGACCGGCCAGGAGACAGACCUAAAGGGAGAGAAAGGGGCGAGAUGGCAAGCCAGAUGGAGUUCGCAGAACCACUCUUAUUCUCUCUGGUGACUUCAGGGAAUUCUUAGCGCUGGCGCCAAGCGCUCUUAACCAUGUGCGUCAAAAAUGCGAGGCUGGAAAAAUCUCGUCUCCUCAAAAGUUCCGCCCCUAUCUCGGCACGGUUGGCCCAUAAUGGAACUGCAUUUUUCACACUCCCCCCAACUUGCUCCCACUUCGGAGUGUGGGAGCUGGGGGGUUAGGGGUACACGAGGCAAAAUGUAAGAGAGGGCUCUGCUGGUUACCUACACACAGUUACACGCACAAAACAACCCGAGCCUGGGAGUUCUUAACCCCCUAGACCCCGAAAUCAGUCCUUUCUUGGUUCCACUGGAGAAGUUCCCAGCUUAGGAAGGGUAAUAGAAUACUGUCCCCAAGACGUCCCUCCAUCUAAGCAGGGAUGGCGGCUAGAAUUGGGAAAUGUGGAUCUGGGGAAUCCUCUGACCUGGACAGGGACCUGCGGUAACAGUUACCAAUUCGGCGACAGGUCUGAUGGAUAAGAUCCUGUUUCGUCCCUCCCCUUCACCCUUGCUGAGCAACACCCCCCCCACACACACACACACACCUGAACUGGAGCCAGUCACCUCGCCUCUGGGGUGGGGGCAUUUCACGGUUUGUUUUACAAAUUCACCCCCGACUUCUGGCGAGAUAAGUCUCCGGGUGGAGAAAAGAACUGAGGCACCAAGAGAUAAUUGCGAUGCCUGGAGAAGAUACGGGCCUGGAGCACCUCCGCCCACUAGCUCGCCCACCCCAUUCCAGCAGCUCCUCACCCUGCUGACCGCCGAGGGGCGGGCGGCGGCUAGACGAGGACAGGCCCAGAACCUAGUCCCUCGUUGUGCUCACUUUGUUCAGAUACCCUCUCUGGUCUCACACACACAUUCAGGUUGAAAACCGGGAGCCAGAGUCCAAAUGGAAGACGAGAUCUAUCUAAAAGGGCUGGUAAAUCCAUUUGAAAAAAGCCCGAAUCCGCCUCCGGAGUGAGCUGAGCGCAGACCCGCGGCUGCCGCGCAGGCUGGGUCAGUGUUUGCGUGUAUAUGGCUUCCGCGGCUGAGCCCUAGUGGACUGCCGCGUGUUCGCGUACAAAUGUGCUGGGGGUGUUUGGGUCUCCGCGCAUAGUUUCGGGUGGGGCGCGGUGGGGAGAGAGCCCCCUCGCGUGGGCUGAGAUCUGGCAGCACCGCGUGCUCGGGAGCCCGCGCGCGAGCCCUGCUGCCCGGGCAGACCGGCAACGAGAAACACCCGAGCUCGGGAGCCCUUGAGCGGCGGCCGGGAAGAGCUUGGCUCCACGUGGGGCCGGAGAGAGCGCACAAGCCUGGAGACUCGGCGGCGUUCGCCUCUCCGCGGCGCCCGGCUUUUGUCGCGCCCGGCGGCCGGAUGGCAGCUCACGGGAGCCGGGGCCGUCCGCUCGGCUCGCCUGGAACCGGGUUAAAAGGGUGAACGGGAGAGAGAAACGGCCGCGGCGGCCCGAGAAGCGAGCCGAGCGCGCGAGAGGCGAGCGCCCCUGCCCGGCGCCCGGCGCGCUCUCCGCCUUCCUGGCCAGGCUCGCUAGCGCCCGCCUCCCUCCCGCGUGCUCCC